rnacentral:rRNA from 1 species
AGUGAACGCUGGCGGUAGGCCUAACACAUGCAAGUCGAACGGCAGCACAGGAGAGCUUGCUCUCUGGGUGGCGAGUGGCGGACGGGUGAGGAAUACAUCGGAAUCUACUCUGUCGUGGGGGAUAACGUAGGGAAACUUACGCUAAUACCGCAUACGACCUACGGGUGAAAGCAGGGGAUCUUCGGACCUUGCGCGAUUGAAUGCGCCGAUGUCGGAUUAGCAAGUUGGCGGGGUAAAGGCCCACCAAGGCGACGAUCCGUAGCUGGUCUGAGAGGAUGAUCAGCCACACUGGAACUGAGACACGGUCCAGACUCCUACGGGAGGCAGCAGUGGGGAAUAUUGGACAAUGGGCGCAAGCCUGAUCCAGCCAUACCGCGUGGGUGAAGAAGGCCUUCGGGUUGUAAAGCCCUUUUGUUGGGAAAGAAAUCCAGCUGGCUAAUACCCGGUUGGGAUGACGGUACCCAAAGAAUAAGCACCGGCUAACUUCGUGCCAGCCGCCGCCGUAA